rnacentral:rRNA from 1 species
AUUGAACGCUGGCGGCAGGCCUAACACAUGCAAGUCGAACGAGUGGCGGACGGGUGAGUAAUGUCUGGGAAACUGCCCGAUGGAGGGGGAUAACUACUGGAAACGGUAGCUAAUACCGCAUACCAUCGGAUGUGCCCAGGUGGGAUUAGCUAGUAGGUGGGGUAACGGCCCACCUAGGCGACGAUCCCUAGCUGGUCUGAGAGGAUGACCAGCCACAAUGGGAGUGAGCAACGGUCCGGACUCCAACGGGAGGCAGCAGUGUGGAAUAUUGCACAAUGGGGGCAAGCCUGAUGCAGCCAUGACGCGUGUAUGAAGAAGGCUUUCGGGUUGUAAAGUACUUUCAGCGAGGAGGCGUUACUCGCAGAAGAAGCACAGGCUAACUCCGUGCCAGCAGCCGCGGUAAUAC